GACGAACGCUGGCGGCGUGCUUAACACAUGCAAGUCGAACGGAAAGGCCCUGCUUUUGUGGGGUGCUCGAGUGGCGAACGGGUGAGUAACACGUGAGUAACCUGCCCUUGACUUUGGGAUAACUUCAGGAAACUUGGGCUAAUACCGGAUAGGAUCUCCUGCUGCAUGGUGGGGGUUGGAAAGUUUCGGCGGUUGGGGACGGGCUCGCGGGUUAUCAGCUUGUUGGUGGGGUAGUGGCUUACCAAGGCUUUGCCGGGUAGCCGAGCUGCGAGGGGGAGCGGAGAAAUUGGGACUGAGAUACGGCACAGACUGGAACGGGAGGCAGGAGAGGAGAAUAUAACAGAAUGGGAGGAAGCCUGAUGCAGAAAAGCCGCGUGCGGGAUGACGGCCUUGGGGUUGUAAACCGAAUUCGCCUGAGACGAAGCGAGAGUGACGGUAAUGGGUAAAGAAGCACCGGCUAACUACGUG
rnacentral:rRNA from 1 species